AUAUAUAUAUAUAUAUAUAGUUCACCUAUCGUGUAAUAAUUAAUUUGAAAUUGAUAUUUUCACAUAAAAAGUGCAGCUAUAGAUGUAUAGCGAUAAUUUUCAUAUAAAAAUAUCAAUUUCCUAAUUAAUUCCGUUACCUUUUUACAACUCUCUCUCUCUCUCUCUCUCUCUCUCUAAAUCCAUGUUAAGAAUAUUGAUGUUAACACUAAUAUGAUCGGUGCUUGAAAAUUCUUCAAGCUGUUGGGUGCUCCAUUUGAACCUUACCACCAAAAGGAAAUAUACAAAAAUGUUGGUAUACAUUUGAAAGUGGGGGUAAUUAGGUAAUCCACUAGAACAUAGUAGUAUUACCCUUAAAGGAACAAUUAUAUAUUCUAUUAUAUUUUUAAAAAUAAUUACAACAAUAAUUCACUCAUAAAAUAUUUACACAAUUAAUACACUUUUAUAUUUAUUUACAAUAUUAGUGCAAUUAGAAUUCCUUAAUUUUGAGAAUUAGUAUGCAAUUAGGAUUCCUUAAUUUAGGGGAUUAAUAUUGAUUUAAUUAGUAAAUUAAAUAAUUAAUAAGUAAAUUAUAUAGCACACCUUCUCUGCCCUCCUCUACCAUUAACAGUCCCAACUUGUUAACAUCAUCCUCCGCCCUCCUCCACCAUUAACGCCCUUCUCCUCCGCCCUCUUCCACCAUUAACGCCAUCCUCCACCAUUAACCUAGACAAUCCCAUCUUGUUAACGCCAUCCUCCACCUGCGAUUUUUUCAUAGUACAGCUGCUGCGAUUUUUUUAUAGUUCAAUUGAAAGCCAAACAUUCAUACCAAGGUAACCAAUUCAGUGUUAUUAGGUUUCUAAUUUAUUUUUAAAAAAUCUAUUAUAGAUUUUUUUUUUUUUUAAUAGUGCAGUUGGUAGCUAACACUUUAUACAAAUGUAACCAAUUCAGUUUUAUUGGGUUACCAAUUAAUUAAAAAAAAUCUAUUGUAGAUUUUUUCUUUUAUAAUGCAGUUGGUAGCUAAACCUUAAUACAAAGGUAACCAAUUCAGUUUUAUUGGGUUACCAAUUAAUUAUAAAAAAUAUAUUAUAAUUUUUUUUUUUCAUAGUGCAAUUGGUAGCCAAACUUUAAUACAAAUGUAACCAACAAAAACUAAAACUGUUACCUUUGAAAGUUUUGGUUACCAACUGCACUGAAAUUUCUCUUGGUUACCCACAAAAACUAAAAUGGUUACCUUUGUAUAAAUAUUUGGAUACCAACUGCACUAAAAUUUAUCUUUUUCUCCUUUUAAUUUCUAGACUAAAUCAACCUUCGUCAUAAUGGCAGUUGUGGCCGUAAUGGAUGAGGAGAUCGGCGUCCAUGGCGGCUACACCUUCAAGAUCUACAGAUCUACAUCUUCAAGGUAUUGAAGCGGCGGUGAAGGGGAGGAGGAAGAUGACCGGCGAAGGGGAGGAGGAAGAUGACGUUGUCAAAUUUUGAAUAUUUGAAUUUUAAUUAUUAUUUUUGAAUUUAAAUUUGUUUUUGUUGUUAGAUCCAAGAUAUUUGAAUUUGAAUUAUUAAUUAUGGUAGUUAUUUCUCCUUAAUUUUAGGUUUCCUUAUUCUUAUGAAUUGAAUCCUAUACUAAUUCCCUAAAUUAAAAAAUCCAAAUUGUACUAAUAUUGUAAAUAAAUAUAGAAAGUGUAUUAAUUAUGUAAAUAUUUUAUGAGUGCACUGAUAUUGUAAUUACUUUCUAAAUGUUAUAUAUUAUUGUAAAGGACCCCUUCCUCUGUUGGGCCACUAGGAUAGAUCAAGCCCAAUGGGCCAAAUCAUAUCCCAAGUCCCAAAUGUUGACGGAGUAUAAUAAUCAAUGGCUUUGCCUACUUGCUUUUAAAUUUAAAGAAAAAAAUGUGCAUUUUUCAGAACUUAUAAUAAUAAGCUUGAGAAUAUUCAAUAUAAUUCUGUAUUUAGACAUUUAGAUAUAAAUUUUAAUUUGACUUACCAGUAUUUGGUGAGCUUGAACUAGUACUGGGUGGCGGUGGCGGAGGUGACCCUGUCCCUAACUCGAGGCUGUUACAGUCUGUUCCAAAGUAGCCUAAAAAAAAAAAAAAGAUAUGUACAAUUUGUGGUUAUCUUAUCUGAAGAAACUAUGGACGUACGUAGUUGUUUGAAAAACAAGUGUCGAUUUAUAAUAUAACCUCCGAUCCAAACUAAUUCAAAUAAUAAUAUCAAUAUUUGAUGAAAUUUUGAAAUUAAUUUCAAUUAAUUUUUAAACCAGAAUCUCAAGUUCUAAUUAAGGACAUAUAUAAAAGAAAGAAAAAUAAGCAUAUUAAUAAUAUAUAGUGUGGUUUGUAAAUUUCAAUUAAUGGAACGUUAAUGACUUAAUUUUUCUCUCUCUUGAUAAUAAUAUAAAUAGUAAAAAGGGUGGAAGGAAGGAAGAUAUAAAGAAAUACUGUAAGAAGCUUACAUUGUUUGAAACAAGCAAAGGCAGUUUGAUCCAACAAAUUGGAAGAGCCUUCAUUACAUUGGCAGUAGUAGUCUCCAGUUCUAUUAACUACGCACUUUCCAUCACCGCACCAAACACCAUUACAAGCUGAUCAUUAAUAAUUAACGGAUGCAUGAGAUUUUGUUAAUUCACACAUAAUUAAUGAGUAUAUAAUUUAACAUAAUCAAUUAUCUGGAUAUUUACGUACCGCUUGUAUUGGAAGUUGAUUGUGG
rnacentral:lncRNA from 1 species